UGACCUAGACGAACCAAACCCGAAAAGCCAGGCUUGGGUAAGAGCCACGGGUAGCCGCUAAGACGCUGCCCAAGCCUGCUCGCUUCCCGCUCGCUCUCCCCAACGGACGGUGGCCGGCCUCGCGACGGGCUGGUGCGAGGGGUAGUAGUCUUUAGUUCUCGCUUCCCGCCCGCUCUCCCCAACGGACGGAGGAGGUCGAGGCGAGUAGACCGCGGCGGAGGGGCGGCGCGACGAGGAAGGAGCGGCAGUUCUCUCACUCUCUCUCCAUUUAGGAUAGCUUUUCUACCUUCUCCACCUUUUAUGGUCGUUCGCGUUUCGUGGGCUCGACCUAAGGCUCCUGUCAAGGCGACGGCGACAAUACUUACCUGUAGUCAGCGACGGACCGAGCCGACGGUUUGCAGUCUUGGAGCGGGCCAGCACGUAGGUACUCCAACGACGGGGGUUACCGAUACUAAACAGAUUCCUGCUCCGGCAUGUACCCUGGGAAAGUUUGGGACACAAAUUGCCCCUGUACCGGUUCUGUAUGGGCAAAGUCGAGCUGGGGAAGGUCUGACAGAGCUAGCGGACGAACCUCGCCUUGCUUAGACAGAACCAGAGUCGAGUGUGGAGACGCCCCUUCUGCCGGUAACGACUCAUGCGGUAACGUUACAGCAAAUCUCUGUUCGUCUCCCAAUAUAUAUGGAGAGGUGACUUCCGAGACUCGUUAGUCUUCAUGGCACUCGAAUCGGUCCUCAAAAGACUACAACCGAACUACUGACCACUACAGUGCGAAGUCGGUUUACGAUGAACGGACCAGUACUGCUGCCUUUAGGACUCCCCUUACGAGAUAUCCCCAAGGCUCCACUAGUUCCUUCAACCAACCCAAUAUAAACUACUCUAGGUGAUGUACUUCCUGGCCCUCUCUCCGCAACACACCCUUCUCUCAUAUCAAAAGGAGGGGGGACGGUAGUUCUACCAGAAAGAAAGACGAUGGUACAGCUUACGUUGGCUCAAACGACUCACCUAUACGUUAGACGUGUUCGUCGGAACAGUGCACCACAUGUGUCUGAAGUCCGGCUGUGGCAAUGUCGUGAUGCACAAGGGUUAUCCACCCAGACCAGAGAUGGAGCAUCAUCUACUUUUACCAGUCAAGUCCCUCCUAUUAAAAGACUUCGACGUUCUGUGUAAACGCUUCGUUGGAUCAGUUGAUCUACCCUUCUUCUCACCACCCGGAUUUCGGUCACCAGCUUAACGUUUUCCGCCCUUACGAAGACCUUGAAGACUGUAUAUGUCUUAACAGUUCUACUAAUACCUCGCGUUCAAAGUUGGUCAGUAAUAAAAGUCGAAAUCAUCUUCCCUUACACUCGUGGUACGCUACAGCUACAGUUUUGAACUAAAGUUGUGACUUCUUCUUUUCCUAUCGUAACUUGUCCAAAAGGCGUCACGAUAAAAGACAAAUUCGCUCCUUCUAUCUCCAAAUGGACGAUAUCUCAACUACAACGGAGAAGAAUUUGCUCCAUAACGUCAUGUGGUAAGACCUGACGAAGGUUAUUAAUUCCUCGACCACCUUAACGAGAAGGUUCUUCCAGAACACUUUCGAGAGAAACGAUGACUCUGCAAACGGUACCCUGACUUGUACGGACGUUUUUGUCAACAGAAAUGUAGACAGUUCUUUACCCUACCACUAUCAUUGGCAAAAUAACCAAGACCUCUUAUAUAUGUCUACUCACCUUCUCGGCCAGCCGCACCGUUCCUACUUGCACCGUAAACACAAUAUUACUAUCUACUUGUCUACCUUUACUCACAAUAGUUCCUGUACCACAAUCCAUUUGGUCGUGGAGAGUAGUCAUGAAAGGCUGACUCGAUGAUGUGAUAAGACUUAAACGACUCAGCGCGCCUCCCGGUUAAAUGACGACUUGUACACUAGGCCUUAAGUAAGGUGGUCAAAGUCAUACUUUUCCGUAAUGGGCUUCACCAAGUCUUCUAAUGUUCCAACCUUUUACUUCGAUCGAACGACCCGAGAAGACCUCUCUUACUAGAACGACUUAUAGUGUUUAAUCCCGAACUAUAUAGACUUGAACUCUUCUUUUAGUACAGACUCUACUAAUCUGGUCUCUCUCGAAACAAUAUAAACCAAGGACCUUCCGACCAAUUCCACUCCCUACCAAGUUGUCUGACCCCUACCCCACACCAACAUUUACAACAUUUCUUUGGAGGUCGUAGAUCAUCGGAGGGGGGACGUAAUUCACGUAGGGCGUUAUUAUUGAUAUAUCACCUAUGGAACGAAGUAACAAGAAGAUCAAACUCACUCUCGCCUAACGCAAGUUUCGGUACGGGUGGAGCGGGACCCCUCUUCCCUCUUUACGUACACCACGGACAUGGUAAUGGAAACCAUACACCAGAUUCGUCGUAAUCUUAGUCGUAAGGUAGACUAAACGCUGGUGGACUUCGUUCUGUUUUGUAUGAAAAACGUCAAGUUCUUGAUCCUUUCGCAAUGGGGGUUCCUGAAGGUUUCGAUUUAGGUUAAUGCCUGUACCCAUAACUUCUUGGACUUAAUCAGCUGGACCAAGUAUUUGAACUCCUAGAACUCGUCUUUGACACAAGAGUGGGUGAAGUAUUCAGGCUAGUUUCACUUGUCGUUGACAGUACCAUGGUUUCUUUUCGACUUAACUUAGUACUUUAAGUCGUUGAUUUCAGUUUCUACGCCCUAAGUGUCGAUGUUUUUAAAUCCCUACUUGACUUUUUGGCCAGAGCGCAAGACUUCUAUGACCCAGUAUAACUACGCCUACCACAAGAGGUCAAUUUCCCCGCACGACGGACAAACUAUCUGUGACCCCUACUCGACGAACAGUGACUUGAAUACAAAUUACCAUGUAAAUUACUAGAACUAGUAGUAGUUCAACGAAGGCAACAAUCGACGAAACAAGGCACACUCUUUAGUUCACUCGUUUAUGCGGACUCUUUACUCGAAAGAUUCGGUUACUACGUCGAGGUCCUCCGACGUUCCUUUUAUCGGCUCCAUGUUGCCCUUACGUUUAACCUGUAGUUACAACUUCUUAUACAACUUAGUUGAACAUUUGGGAUGGACUACCUGCAGUAUAUGACGACCAGUUUCCCGCGGUGGAAGCCUCUCCACUGUCUUUACUGACUGUAAAAACUUCCUUCGUAGUAUGCCGAUCAAUCCUCCGACCUACUUAAAGACUUAGUCGAUUUUCGGCGACGACUUCGACAACCCCUCCAGUUGGAACUCUCGUUCAAACCUAGCCGCUCACUCUCGAAUGCGGCACCGUAGUACAAACGAUUGAGUAACAUAGACACUACUCAUGAGGUCGUCAACAUUGUAUGUCAUAUACAAUUGUUUGGUUUGCAUCGACAAAACAAAAAACAAAAACUGUCGGGAAUAGACACCCUCACAUCCAACAUCGGAACAUGGGACCAUUGGGGAUCCGUUAAAUAAAACCAUUGAGAAUAGGUCCGUAAAAUAAAAGCUUUAAGAGG
rnacentral:rRNA from 1 species